rnacentral:rRNA from 1 species
AACGAACGCUGGCGGCAUGCCUAACACAUGCAAGUCGAACGAGGCCUUCGGGUCUAGUGGCGCACGGGUGCGUAACGCGUGGGAACCUGCCCUUAGGUUCGGAAUAACUCCCCGAAAGGGGUGCUAAUACCGGAUAAUGUCUUCGGGCCAAAGAUUUAUCGCCUUUGGAUGGGCCCGCGUUGGAUUAGCUAGUUGGUAGGGUAAAAGCCUACCAAGGCGACGAUCCAUAGCUGGUCUGAGAGGAUGAUCAGCCACACUGGGACUGAGACACGGCCCAGACUCCUACGGGAGGCAGCAGUGGGGAAUAUUGGACAAUGGGCGAAAGCCUGAUCCAGCAAUGCCGCGUGAGUGAUGAAGGCCUUAGGGUUGUAAAGCUCUUUUACCCGGGAUGAUAAUGACAGUACCGGGAGAAUAAGCUCCGGCUAACUCCGUG